rnacentral:rRNA from 1 species
GACGAACGCUGGCGGCGUGCCUAAUACAUGCAAGUAGAACGCACAGUUUAUACCGUAGCUUGCUACACCAUAGACUGUGAGUUGCGAACGGGUGAGUAACGCGUAGGUAACCUGCCUGGUAGCGGGGGAUAACUAUUGGAAACGAUAGCUAAUACCGCAUAAUAUUAAUUAUUGCAUGAUAAUUAAUUGAAAGGUGCAAUUGCACCACUACCAGAUGGACCUGCGUUGUAUUAGCUAGUAGGUGAGGUAACGGCUCACCUAGGCGACGAUACAUAGCCGACCGGAGAGGGUGAUCGGCCACACUGGGACUUAGUCACGGCCCAGACUCCUACGGGAGGCAGCAGUAGGGAAUCUGCGGCAAUGGACGAAAGUCUGACCGAGCAACGCCGCGUGAGUGAAGAAGGUUUUCGGAUCGUAAAGCUCUGUUGUAAGAGAAGAACGGGUGUGAGAGUGGAAAGUUCACACUGUGACGGUAUCUUACCAGAAAGGGACGGCUAACUACGUG